UACGGGGGGAGCAAGCGUUGUUCGGAUUUACUGGGCGUAAAGGGCGCGUAGGCGGCCACCGCAAGUCACUUGUGAAAUCUCCGGGCUUAACCCGGAAAGGUCAACUGAUACUGCGGGGCUAGAGUGCAGAAGGGGCAACUGGAAUUCUCGGUGUAGCGGUGAAAUGCGUAGAUAUCGAGAGGAACACCUGCGGCGAAGGCGGGUUGCUGGGCUGACACUGACGCUGAGGAGCGAAAGCGUGGGGAGCAAACAGG
rnacentral:rRNA from 1 species